AUUGAACGCUGGCGGCAGGCCUAACACAUGCAAGUCGAACGAGUGGCGGACGGGUGAGUAAUGUCUGGGAAACUGCCUGAUGGAGGGGGAUAACUAUUGGAAACGGUAGCUAAUACCGCAUACCAUCGGAUGUGCCCAGAUGGGAUUAGCUAGUAGGUGGGGUAAAGGCUCACCUAGGCGACGAUCCCUAGCUGGUCUGAGAGGAUGACCAGCCACACUGGACAUGAGACACGGUCCAGACGCCUACGGGAGGCAGCAGUGGGGAAUAUUGCACAAUGGGCGCAAGCCGUAUGCAGCCAGGCCGGGUGUAUGAAGAAGGCUUUCGGGUUGUAAAGUACUUUCAGCGGGGAGGCGUUACCCGCAGAAGAAGCACCGGCUAACUCCGUGCCAGCCGCCGCGGUAAUC
rnacentral:rRNA from 1 species